AUAUUUACAUGUGUUUACAUUAAGGUUCAGUAUGUUUCCUUGGUUAACUGUAUUAUUAGUUCCUAUCUGCCCUGGUACACAGGGGGACAGUUUAAUGCGAAGCGCGGGAAGGGAGUUUGGAGCGCGGCUGGAGAAAGUUGUAAGUUUACAGUGUGGAAUACUCAGUCCAGCAGAGAGCAGCUUCACUCCUGAAUCCUGUAGGUCAUUGUCACUCAGGUCCAGCUCUCUCAGAUGUGAGUGGUUUGAUCUGAGAGCUGAAGCCAGCGCCUCACAGCAUUCCUCUGUGAGUUCACACCGGUUCACCUUUAGGAAAAUGAAAGACUUUUAAGAUUCAAGAUUAUUUAUUUGUCACAUGCAUAGUUAUACAGGUACAACAUGCAGUGAAAUGUAUCCUGAACUGCUCUUUUGACUGUGCAACAUUAGAAUAAUUUAAUAAUUAAAAACCACUUUUUGCAUUGGUGCACUGUAUAUUAUAUCACAGUGAGCCAUUACAUUCAUCACAGAAGAGAUUCUUUUAAACAAUGAAUUUAUUGUACAGCUUUUAAGAAGCACAUUAACACUCAUCUCACUUUUGACUGGAACAUUGUAUUUUGUUAAACUCAGCUUGUUAAAUUUAAACUUGUUAAAUUUAAAAUUGCAACAGAUCCAUCACUUUUCUUUGUCUAUUAGCUGCUAACCAACACAGUGCUAACCAUGACAGUUUGGUGUAAGAUCAGCGGGUAAUGCUUGAGGGAGGUUAUCCAUGACAGUAUGGUAUUGGGUCAGUGGGUAACAUUUGAGUGAGGUUAUUCAUGACAGUAUGGUAUUGGAUCAGUGGGUAACAUUUGAGUGAGGUUAUCCAUGUCAGUAUGGUAGUAGAUCAGUGGGUAAUACUUGAGGGAGGUUAUCCUUGAUAGUGUGGUAUUGGAUCAGUGGGUAACAUUUGAGUGAGGUUAUCCAUGACAGUAUGGUAUUGGAUCAGUGGGUAACAUUUGAGUGAGGUUAUCCAUGUCAGUAUGGUAGUAGAUCAGUGGGUAAUACUUGAGGGAGGUUAUCCUUGAUAGUGUGGUAUUGGAUCAGUGGGUAACAUUUGAGUGAGGUUGUCCAUGACAGUAUGGUAUUGGAUCAGUGGGUAACAUUUGAGUGAGGUUGUCCUUGUCAGUAUGGUAUUAGAUCAGUAGGUAACGCUUGAGGGAGGUCAGCCAGGACAGUAUGUUGGUAGAUCGGGGGUGACGUUUGGGCCCUUCCAUGUAUUGACACUGUUGUGCUGGAAGGGGUCGUGUUCCUCUGUGAGUUUAGCAGCUAUGUUGUCGGGGAGCUGCCCCUGUUUGGGUCUCCCAAGGCAAAUUGUUCCUGGGUGAGCAGCCAGACAAAGUGUGAGUCACUAACACUAAGGAUCAUGUGAC